rnacentral:rRNA from 1 species
GCAGUCGCCGCGGUAAUACCGAGGGUGCAAGCGUUAAUCGGAAUUACUGGGCGUAAAGCGCGCGUAGGUGGUUCGCCAAGUUGGAUGUGAAAUCCCCGGGCUCAACCUGGGAACUGCAUCCAAAACUGGCGAGCUAGAGUAUGGUAGAGGGUGGUGGAAUUUCCUGUGUAGCGGUGAAAUGCGUAGAUAUAGGAAGGAACAUCAGUGGCGAAGGCGACCACCUGGACUGAUACUGACACUGAGGUGCGAAAGCGUGGGGAGCAAACAGGAUUAGAUACCCCAGUAGUCCCUGUCUCUUAUAC